GACGAACGCUGGCGGCGUGCCUAAUACAUGCAAGUCGAACGAGAGCGACCGGUGCUUGCACUGGUCAAUCUAGUGGCGAACGGGUGAGUAACACGUGGGUAACCUGCCCAUCAGAGGGGGAUAACAUCCGGAAACGGAUGCUAAAACCGCAUAGGUCUUCGAGCCGCAUGGCUUGAAGAGGAAAAGAGGCGCAAGCUUCUGCUGAUGGAUGGACCCGCGGUGCAUUAGCUAGUUGGUGAGGUAACGGCUCACCAAGGCCGUGAUGCAUAGCCGACCUGGGAGGGUGAUCGGCCACAUUGGGACUGAGACACGGCCCAAACUCCUACGGGAGGCAGCAGUAGGGAAUCUUCCGCGAUGGACGCAAGUCUGACGGAGCAACGCCGCGUGAGUGAAGAAGGUUUUCGGAUCGUAAAACUCUGUUGUUAGAGAAGAACAAGUGCUAGAGUAACUGUUAGCGCCUUGACGGUAUCUAACCAGAAAGCCACGGCUAACUACGUG
rnacentral:rRNA from 1 species